CAAAACACACAUCCAGAAGAUAAAGUUAAAGCUCCUACAUCCAAAGCUUCCAAGAAAAAUAUCAGACCAUAAAAGAGUUUCAAAAAAUUUUUGAAAAUUUAAGAGAGAUAGAAGAAAAACUGCCAUAAAUAGAUGAGUAGAAGAACCAGAAGAUUCGUGAUGUGAGGCAUCUAGAAGUACAGGGCUUCUUUUUGACAACGAAGAAAAUCUGAUAACAUUCGAGUAAGUUGCUUCCUAUCAUCUAUUUCUGCUGCCAAUCGACCAUUGUAAUCCGCCA